UGAGAUGGUUGCAAUAACUGAUGCAAGCCCCUCCAGUGCUGCUCCAGUUGGAGUAGGAUGCGACAAUUGGCUUUGGGACUCUGAAGACGAUAUUUCAUCUGUUUCUGCCCCUGUGGGUAAACCAGGUCCCAGCAACAAGCCCAGGCCUGUGCAGUUCUCCUCUCCAGCCUGAGCCUCCUCCAGGUGGGCCAGACACUCCUCCAUGGGCUCAUCCUGGUUCACACGUAACUGAGGAGGACACAGCAGCCUGGACAGAGUUUAUCUCACCCGUACAAAGCUGGCAGGGAACCAGCCCUCGCUGUCCAUGAUGCGACCCCACCAC